CUUAUUGGGCUCCUGUCUGCAGGAUUUACGCGCACGUUGGAACCGAAGAGAGCUCUGUUGUUGCAAUGUUCAGCCCACAAGAGCUUACUGGUGAAGGAAUGGGACAAGACCCAUCUUUAUGCAAAGCCAGCGUUACAGUAAUGUUCCAGCAUCUCAUAAUCUAUCCUGGGGAAUUCAGCUGCCUCCCAGGGUGAAUACAGGUAUUCCUGAUGACAGUCUGCCUCUAUCUUACAGAGCAGCUUGUUGCUAUAUACCAUUGAAAAGCCUUCAGAGCUGAGAGGUACUACUAACCAAUAACCUGCUUGGCUCAAAGGGCCAGCACCUUCUCUCUAAAGCCCAAGAGGAGUUUGAGGAAAACUAGGUGUCUGUGUUCACUCCAGGCUGAAGUUACAGGUCUGAGCAAAUAAGGUGUAUAAAAAAUGGAAUCUGUCUUGGAGGACAUCAGAAGAUACAAGGGCUUGGUUUUGUUACCCAGGCUGGUUUCAAGGCCAUAGCUUUAAGAGAUCCUCUCACCACAGAUUUCCAAAGUGCUGGGAUUGCAGGUGUGAUUCAUGGCACCCAGACUUUGCUGCCUUUCUUACAUGAUCC
rnacentral:lncRNA from 1 species